AAUCAACGCUGGCGGCGUGCCUAACACAUGCAAGUCGAACGCGAAAGGGGAGCAAUCCCUGAUUAGAGUGGCAAACGGGUGAGUAACACGUGGGUGACCUGCCUUCGAGUGGGGGAUAACCUUCCGAAAGGAGGGCUAAUACCGCAUGACAUACCGUGUUUGGAUACACGGAUAUCAAAGCCGGGGAUCGCAAGACCUGG
rnacentral:rRNA from 1 species